rnacentral:lncRNA from 1 species
AUGUGGAGAACAUGUACGAGGAGGUCCAAAUACCUGAGCGGCACAAGUCCAUCAGCUGGAGAUGUGAAGAUCUUUGUGACUCUGGCACGUCCGCUCCACCCGGCAGCAAGAAGCUGCCCACAGAUGUCUGGCAGGUGAGCGAGCGAACCGUCAGCAGGACAGAGGUGGCCGUACGAGUCAGUACACCUCAUCUUGCCACCAUCAAACAAAGCUGUGACGCUAAGGUUCAACAGUUGAUGAAAUCGAGGAGGAACAGCACUAAGGAAGGAUUGAGAAAAACAACGCUGGCCAUGAUCCGCAGAGUGGCCUUCCUGCAGAGGAAAAACUCCACAGGUGAGGAUGAAGACACAGGAUACUUGGACGUGUCCAUUUGUGAGCUGAAGCACCCUCCAGCUGUACUGUGCCCUAUGCCGGAGGGGCUCAGCGGCCAGCAGGUCAUCCGACGCCUCAUUCUCAGCUCUAUUGUUCAAAGUGAGAGCAGCUACCUGGACUCCUUGAAGAGGAUCCUGCAGGAAUACCAAAAGCCGCUACUGGAGAGCCACACUUCCAUCCUAAACCCGGAGAAGGUGCAUCAGAUCUUCUUCCGUCUGAGGGAGAUCCAUCAGUGCCACUCCAUGUUCCAGAUCGCCCUGGCAUCGCGCGUGGCGGACUGGGAUCAGAGUGAGAUGAUUGGAGACCUGUUUGUGGCCUCGUUUUCAAAGUCCAUGGUGCAGAGCGUGUACAGAGACUACAUCAACAAUUUCACCAAAGCCAUGGCGCUCAUCAAGAAGGCCUGCGUGUCCAGACCUGCCUUCCUGGACUUCCUGAAGAGGAAACAGGCGUCAUCGGCAGACCGGAUCACGCUGUACGGGCUGAUGGUCAAGCCCAUCCAGCGUUUCCCUCAGUUCAUUCUGCUGCUACAGGACAUGUUGAAGAACACUCCGCUGGCCCAUAAGGACAGACUUCCUCUGCAGCUGGCUCUCACCGAGCUUGAGAUCCUGGCAGAAAAGCUCAACGAAGAGAGGCGUUUGGCUGACCAAGAAGCAGAAAUCCAGCAGCUGGCCCAUAGCAUAGGAGACCGCAACCUCAACAAGCUGCUAAACUCGGAGCAGAGGCAGCUGAUCCACUCUGAGCUGCUGACUGAGACUGUCUAUGGGGACAAAGGUCAAGUCCUUAAGUCUAAGAAGCGAAAGGUGUUUCUCUUCAGUGACUCGUUGAUUUGUGCCAACAUCAACUGGAAGGGUCCUCCUGAAAUCAGCAGCCUGGUUCCCCUGGGAGCCAAAUGCUCGGUGAAGUGGUGUGCCCCUGUGGCACAGAUCCAAGUGGAGGAGGUGGGGCAGGAUGGGGUUGUGAUUAGUAGGCGGCAUAGCUCUGCCUCCAGUAAAAGCAGCUGUUUAUUUGCAGGGAAGUUGUUCCUGGGGCCCCCCAGGUUAUUCCAGGAACUGGAGGAGCUACAGCAUGACCUGGCUGUGGUGGAGGAGGUGUCUCUGCUGGUGGGCACGUUACAUGGACUCUACCAGAACCUGAACAGCACAGUGUCUCAGGACUGGUGCUGCGCUCUGCAGAGGCUCAUCCGUCUGAAGGAAGAGCAGAUCCAGGACGCCAACAAGUGCUGCCUGCGUCUGUCCAUUCCAAGCCGUCCAGACAGGUCUGGACGCCCUGUGAGCAUUAUGGUGGUCUUCAACACCCUCAGCCCCCACAGCAAAAUCUUCUGGGUGAACCGCAUCUACCUUGCUAAGCUGGCUCAGAGAAAGGAAAACUCUCCUGGAUGGGAAUGUUAUGAAGAUGACUGCAAGACCCAAACCCUGUUUGGGUCUCCACUGCUGACCUGCUCUUUGCCGGUUCUGUCCUCCAGGACACUCUCUCUGACGCUGAAGGCGGCUCUGCACAGUCCUUCUCAGUCCACCCUGCUUGGUCUCUGCUCCACCACCACAUGUCUGCCGCAGGGUUACCUCUGGGUAAGAGGAGGAAGAAGCGGCUCUCUCCACGGCCAAGUGGAUAUCUUCUCUUUGAACCGAACCACACCUCGCUUGGUGAAGAGCAUCCCACUGAGGUCCCCCGUCCUCUGUCUGGAGCUUGUGAGGGAGCCAGGUCCCCAGACUGAUGAAGAAGAGGAGGAGAAAGAGUCUGGGAGGGUCACCAGGGCAGAGAACAUCAUCUGUGUGGGUCUGCAGGACGGCAGCAUUCACGUGCACAGCAGUGUGGACACGGCUGUGGAGACUCUGCAGACCCUGGUGAACCCGGACAGCUGCCCUGUGCUCUGCCUCAAACAUUCGACCUCCUUCCUCUUUGCUGGACUGGCCAACGGUAAAGUAGCUGUGCCCCCGGUCCACGCUCUGCUGACAGUGGAAGAUGCUGUGUGGGCGAGCUGUGGCCAUCAUGUCUCUGUCAUCCAGGGAGAGGGUCUGCACACACAGGUUUUGGAAGUUCACCAUGAUCCAGGCUGCCGGGUUCGCUGCAUGGUGCGUUCAGGAGCUGGAGUCUGGAUGGCCUUCACAAAGGGCUCCUCCAUUUACCUGUUUCACACUGAGACACUGGAAGCUCUGCAGGAAGUGAACAUCUCAGCCCGUUCCAGGCAUCCAGGUCAGCUCACGGUCUCCUGUAUGCUGAUUUGCCAGGGUUUGUUGUGGGUGGGCACCAACCAGGGAGUAAUCCUCACUUUCCCUGUUCCCACCCUGGAGGGCAUCCCCAGGAUAACAGGUCUGUGCUGGAACUCACGAAGACCUGGUUCAUUCUGUAAAUGCAGCUUCUGCAGACAAUCCAGUCCGCCCACACUGCCAGGCUUCUCCUGUGACCACGAGGUUUACAGAGGACAAAAUACAACAACAAAAAACUACUUUUACUGUCCUGCAGAGGGCGCUGUGAAUCAUACCAGCUGUUAUGAGAAAAGAUCUUUAAAGUUUAAACACAGCUGUUCAAGGAAAAGCCAUGAAUCCUCUUCUUAGAGAUGACAUACUAAACUUAUUUUUCCUUUUCAGAACUACAAAAAUAUGUCAAAGUAACAAAUCCGACAAACAUUUGUGUCAUGAAGGGAUGUAAAAAAACAGCUUCACCUUUAACCCUUGUGCUAUCCUAUGAGAACCCCCCCCAACACACACACACACAUUGACGUGUUCUCCCUACCAUGACAAAGGUGGAUAAAGGUGGAAACAUUUCAUGAAAUCCAUGGACACCAGUGACGAUCACAAGGGUUAAAACCAUUUCUCUGUCUAACCCAGGGGUCGGCAACCUUUUUUACUCAAAGAGCCAUUUGGGACCGCCCCUAAUGGAAAAAAAGCACCCGGAGCCACAACCCGUUUUGAC